rnacentral:rRNA from 1 species
UACAUAGGGUGCAAGCGUUGUUCGGAAUUAUUGGGCGUAAAGGGCGCGUAGGCGGUGCUGUAAGUCUGUAGUGAAAUCUCUGGGCUCAACUCAGAGUCUGCUAUAGAAACUGCAGUGCUAGAGUGUGGGAGAGGUGAGUGGAAUUCCCGGUGUAGCGGUGAAAUGCGCAGAUAUCGGGAGGAACACCGGUGGCGAAGGCGGUUCUCUGGGCCUGUACUGACGCUGAGGAGCGAAAGCGUGGGGAGCGAACAGG